AACGAACGCUGGCGGCAUGCCUAAUACAUGCAAGUCGAACGAGACCUUCGGGUCUAGUGGCGCACGGGUGCGUAACGCGUGGGAAUCUACCCUUGGGUUCGGAAUAACAUCGGGAAACUGAUGCUAAUACCGGAUGAUGACGUAAGUCCAAAGAUUUAUCGCCCAGGGAUGAGCCCGAGUAGGAUUAGCUAGUUGGUGAGGUAAAGGCUCACCAAGGCGACGAUCCUUAGCUGGUCAGAGAGGAUGAUCAGCCACACUGGGACUGAGACACGGCCCAGACUCCCACGGGAGGCAGCAGUAGGGAAUAUUGGACAAUGGGGGCAACCCUGAUCAGCAAUGCCGCGUGAGUGAUGAAGGCCUUAGGGUUGUAAAGCUCUUUUACCCGGGAUGAUAAUGACAGUACCGGGAGAAUAGGCCCCGGCUAACUCCGUGCCAGCCGCCGCAGUAA
rnacentral:rRNA from 1 species